AUGUCUCUCCGCCUCCUCCUCCCACCUCGCGGCAGCCUACGCCUCCUUUCCCCUCUCCGCCGCCGCCAGACGCCAAGGCCUCCGCCCUUUCGAGCGACUGCCACCGGCGUCCCACAUAGAGCCUCUAGUUUCUUCAGUAUCCCUAUCCGCGCCUUCACCGGUGUCUCGGGCAUGGCGGCGGGGACGCACAAGCCGACCGUGGAGGUUAGGGAGAGCGUGGAGCUGACGGAGGAGGAGGAGCGGAUCUUCGCUAGGCUGCUGGACGUCGUCCGCCACUUCGGACUCGGCACCCAGCUCCGCGUCGCCGGGGGAUGGGUCCGGGACAAGCUAUUGGGGAAAGGCUCUGCUGACAUUGACAUUGCACUUGAUAAUAUGACGGGCCAAAAUUUCUGUGAGAGAGUAAAUGAGUACUCAAAAUUCAUGGGUGAAGAGCAGAAAGGAAUCGGCGUUAUCCAGUGCAACCCUGAUCAAUCCAAGCACUUGGAAACUGCAAGAAUGCUUAUAUAUGGCAUAUGGAUUGAUUUUGUCAACUUGAGGUCCGAAAAGUAUGCUGAAAACAGUCGUAUUCCUACUGUGGAGAUUGGAACAGCCAAAGAAGAUGCACUCCGCAGGGACCUAACAAUCAAUAGCUUAUUCUUCAAUAUCAACACUAAAUCAGUGGAAGAUUUAACUGGAAGAGGUCUUGAAGAUCUGAAAAAGGGCCUCAUUGAUACUCCUUUACCUGCCAAGUCAACUUUCCUGGAUGACCCCCUCAGGGUUCUUAGAGCAAUUCGGUUUGCUGCUAGAUUCAGCUUUACAUUAGCUGAAGAUUUGAAAGAAGCCGCUUCUGAUGAAAAGGUGAAGUCUGAACUUGGUAGCAAGAUUAGCAGAGAACGAAUUGGUCAUGAGGUAGACCUCAUGAUGUCAGACAAACACCCUGUCAAUGCACUGCGCUAUAUCCGUGAUUUGGGAUUGUUUUAUGUUGUUUUUGCUUUUCCUGAGAAACUAGAGCCUCCAGCUCUUGACAAACAUGAUUGGCUUUGUGUUUCACAUCUUGAAGCAGCAUGGAAACUUGCACAUUCUAUUGGCCGUUCUGUGUUCAGUUGUGGUUCUGAUUCCAAGUCACAGGAUGAACAGCAAAGGCUUUGCCUGUAUAGCGCGCUAUUUACUCCAGUUCGAAAUAUGUUCUACAUGGACAAAAAAUCAAAGAAGGUUCCAGUUGUUAGCUAUAUUAUUCGGGACUCUCUAAAGCUGAAAGCUAGUGAUGCUGACACGAUUGUGAACAUACAUGUUGUGAGUGAAAAGUUUGCUGAAUUAAUUCUUCUCCUGGAGUCAAAUGAGAAUCUGGAAACUGUGAAAGAGAAGCUGGAUGAUGAAUAUCUAGAGAUACCAACAGACCUAGUGAAACGUGUUUUUGCAGGACUUAUACUUCGUGAAAUAAAAGGUUUUUGGCGUGUGGCACUGUUUAUCUCAACUCUUGUCUAUCCAGAAGUUGGCAAUGCCAGUGAUUCCCUCAGCAAGCAGGAUGAACUAGAUAAAAGGAAAGAGAGAUACAUCAGUGUGGAGCGAUCAAUAAUUGACCUUGAUCUUGAUGGCGUAUGGAAAAUGAAGCCGUUGCUUGAUGGAAAGGCCAUUAUGGGGGUCAUGCAGGUCAAGUCCGGAGGUCCCUUGAUUGGAAAAUGGCAACAACGGCUAGUGAAGUGGCAGCUUGCGCAUCCUCAGGGUACUAUGGAGGAGUGCAUGGAGUGGAUGAAGCAGUCGGAACAGCAGUCAAAACGCCAGAAAAUAGAAUGCAGCACUUGA
rnacentral:rRNA from 1 species